rnacentral:rRNA from 1 species
AUUGAACGCUGGCGGCAUGCCUUACACAUGCAAGUCGAACGGCAACAGGUCUUCGGAUGCUGACGAGUGGCGAACGGGUGAGUAAUACAUCGGAACGUGCCUAGUAGUGGGGGAUAACUACUCGAAAGAGUGGCUAAUACCGCAUGAGAUCUACGGAUGAAAGCAGGGGAUCGCAAGACCUUGUGCUACUAGAGCGGCCGAUGGCAGAUUAGGUAGUUGGUGGGAUAAAAGCUUACCAAGCCGACGAUCUGUAGCUGGUCUGAGAGGACGAUCGGCCACACUGGGACUGAGAAACGGCCCAGACUCCUACGGGAGGCAGCAGUGGGGAAUUUUGGACAAUGGGCGCAAGCCUGAUCCAGCAAUGCCGCGUGCAGGAUGAAGGCCUUCGGGUUGUAAACUGCUUUUGUACGGAACGAAAAGCCCCGGGUUAAUACCCUGGGGUCAUGACGGUACCGUAAGAAUAAGCACCGGCUAACUACGUGCCAGCCGCCGCCGUAA